rnacentral:misc_RNA from 1 species
GAUGAAGAACGUAGCGAAAUGCGAUAAGUAAUGUGAAUUGCAGAAUUCAGUGAAUCAUCGAGUCUUUGAACGCACAUUGCGCCCCCUGGUAUUCCGGGGGGCAUGCCUGUCCGAGCGUCAUUACAACCCUCAAGCUCAGCUUGGUAUUGGGCCCCGCCGACCCGGCGGGCCCUAAAGUCAGUGGCGGUGCCGUCCGGCUCCGAGCGUAGUAAUUCUUCUCGCUCUGGAGGUCCGGUCGUGUGCUCGCCAGCAACCCCCAAUUUUUUUCAGGUUGACCUCGGAUCAGGUAGGGAUACCCGCUGAACUUAAGCAUAUCAAUAAGCGGAGGA